GCAAGGAAGCAGGAGCUCUUUGUUUGCCUGCCAGAAGGGACCAGCAACUGGCCAGCCAACACAGCCACUGGAAGCAAGGACCGAAGGUGUAUGAGACAAUUCACAGAAGACGUAGUCCUUGCCUCAAAGAAAUCAUUAUGUGGCCAGAUUCUUUUCUGUGCCAAGAACCACUGGACGCACAGAAAAUGAGGAGGAAUACAAACCAAGAUGAGGAUGACUGUUAGUUCUUUGUUCUUGGACAUGAGUAUGAAUGAAGCCCAGGAGAAUG